UACGAGGGGGGCGAGCGUUGUUCGGAAUUAUUGGGCGUAAAGGGCGUGUAGGCGGUUUGUUAAGUCUGGCGUGAAAGCUCUCGGCUAAACCGGGAGAGGUCGUUGGAUACUGGCGAACUCGAGGAUGGUAGAGGCGUGUGGAAUUCCGGGUGUAGUGGUGAAAUGCGUAGAGAUCCGGAGGAACACCAGUGGCGAAGGCGACACGCUGGGCCAUACCUGACGCUAAAGCGCGACAGCAUGGGGAGCAAACGGG
rnacentral:rRNA from 1 species